AUUCAGCUGAUGAAUGUCAAAUAUGAUGAAACGCGUGUCCUGGAU
rfam:Schistosoma rodhaini strain Burundi genome assembly, scaffold: SROB_scaffold0013974